rnacentral:tRNA from 2 species
GCCCAGGUGGUGUAAUUGGCAGCCACGCGAGUUCGAGGGGCUCGUGUCCGAAAGGACGUGCGGGUUCAAGUCCCGCCCUGGGCA